rnacentral:rRNA from 1 species
CGGGGGGGUAAGCGUUGUUCGGAAUUACUGGGCGUAAAGGGCUCGUAGGCGGCCAACUAAGUCAUACGUGAAAUCCCUCAGCUUAACUGGGGAACUGCGUGUGAUACUGGAUGGCUUGGAUUUGGGAGAGGGAUGCGGAAUUCCAGGUGUAGCGGUGAAAUGCGUAGAUAUCUGGAGGAACACCGGUGGCGAAGGCGGCAUCCUGGACCAAUAUUGACGCUGAGGAGCGAAAGCUAGGGGAGCAAACGGGAUUAGAUACCCCGGUAGUCCUAGCCCUAAACGAUGAAUGCUUGGUGUAGCGGGUAUCGAUCCCUGCUGUGCCGAAGCUAACGCAUUAAGCAUUCCGCCUGGGGAGUACGGUCGCAAGGCUG